rnacentral:rRNA from 1 species
GAGUUUGAACCUGGCUCAGGAUGAACGCUGGCGGCGUGCCUAAUACAUGCAAGUCGAGCGAACCACUUCGGCGGUGAGCGGCGAACGGGUGAGUAACACGUAGGUGAUCUGCCCAUCAGACGGGGACAACGAUUGGAAACGAUCGCUAAUACCGGAUAGGACGAAAGUUUAAAGGUGCUUCUGGCACCGCUGAUGGAUGAGCCUGCGGCGCAUUAGCUAGUUGGUAGGGUAAAGGCCUACCAAGGCGACGAUGCGUAGCCGACCUGAGAGGGUGAACGGCCACACUGGGACUGAGACACGGCCCAGACUCCUACGGGAGGCAGCAGUAGGGAAUCUUCGGCAAUGGGCGAAAGCCUGACCGAGCAACGCCGCGUGAAUGAUGAAGGCCUUCGGGUUGUAAAAUUCUGUUAUAAGGGAAGAACGACUUUAGUAGGAAAUGGCUAGAGUGUGACGGUACCUUAUGAGAAAGCCACGGCUAACUACGUGCCAGCAGCCGCGGUAAUACGUAGGUGGCGAGCGUUAUCCGGAAUUAUUGGGCGUAAAGAGCGCGCAGGUGGUUGAUUAAGUCUGAUGUGAAAGCCCACGGCUUAACCGUGGAGGGUCAUUGGAAACUGGUCGACUUGAGUGCAGAAGA